GAAUAUCUGUUAAGACUAUAAUAAUGUAACAAUAUCAAAUACUAUGUAUGUAAAAUGAUCAAAUAUGCAUGUUAAAUGAUAUGUGAAAAUUGAGGGGAAUACACUGCUAUAUAAGCGGUAACUGCCCGACAGUCCAUAUCCAUUGAAAAAGCCGUUCUGACGGAGAAACGCGUUUGGAAGGACUGAUCGCUGAUUACUGAAAGCCAGCAUUUAGGGGACACUUACCUGUACUGUAUCCAGCAGAAUAACAUCUAAGCUGUUGAUCCGGGACGCCGUGAGCAAUACAAG